rnacentral:misc_RNA from 1 species
AACAUCGCGCACCUGCGGGAACCUGCGGAGGGAUCAUUACUGAGUCACGUGCUCAAACAACCCUUCUGUGGACCUGAAAUAAAACCGUUGCCUCGGCGGGCGGUCCCCCCCAAACCAACCCCACGUGGUGGGUUAGGGGAGACCAGACAGUCCGGUACGCUUAAGGCGUCCGGCGCCAGCCGCUGGCCCCAAACAAUUAAACUCUAGUAAUCUUUACCUUCUGAGUUUCAAUAUUUAGAA